GAUGAACGCUGGCGGCGUGCCUAAUACAUGCAAGUCGAGCGAACGGACGAGAAGCUUGCUUCUCUGAUGUUAGCGGCGGACGGGUGAGUAACACGUGGAUAACCCACCUAUAAGACUGGGAUAACUUCGGGAAACCGGAGCUAAUACCGGAUAAUAUUUUGAACCGCAUGGUUCAAAAGUGAAAGACGGUCUUGCUGUCACUUAUAGAUGGAUCCGCGCUGCAUUAGCUAGUUGGUAAGGUAAAGGCUUACCAAGGCAACGAUGCAUAACCGACCUGAGAGAAUGAUCGGCCACACUGGGACUGAGACACGGUCCAGACUCCUACGGGAGGCAGCAGUGGGGAAUCUUCCGCAAUGGGCGAAAGCCUGACGCAGCAACGCCGCGUGUGUGAUGAAGGUCUUCGGGUCGUAAAGCUCUUUUGUUAGGGAAGAACUUAUGUGUAAGAAACUGUGCACAUCUUGACGGUACCUAAUCAGAAAGCCACGGCUAACUACGUG
rnacentral:rRNA from 1 species